rnacentral:tRNA from 6 species
GGAGGCAUAGCUCAGCUGGGAGAGCACAUGCAUCACACGCAUGGGGUCGCAGGUUCGAGCCCUGUUGUCUCCA